rnacentral:tRNA from 1 species
GAAGGUAUAGCUCAACUGGUAAAGCACAUGCUUAACAAGGUCCUGGGUUCAAUCCCCAGUACCUCCU